AUCUCCCUUAGCACCUCACCACGGGGCAGGACCGCAACACUCUUCACCACCUCAACUCCCUGCACCUGCACCUGCAUUUAACAUACGGAGAGUUACUCAAAGUAGGGACUGAUCUCUGAAAUAUUAGUGAAUAGAAAGGCCCCAUGUGUAUUAUCAGUUAUGGUUAACAGAUUUAAUAAAAAAUUUUACAAUUUAAUACAAUUUUACAAUUUAAUACUACCAUUUAAUAAAAAAAUGUUCCCCCUCUCGCACACCGCCCACCUCACUAUGGGCCAGGAACGGCAGUCCCUCCUCAACUCCCUCCACCCCCACACCAGCCCUCAACGUGCAGCGAACAGAGGAGCUUUGUGCUGUGAGGAAAAACAUGGUGACACGGUCUGCCACGGACACUGAGGUCACCAAACACGCAAUCAGGUGUUUCAACCGUCGGUGGAUCGGGCAACGAGGAGAUGUGUUCCGCCUCCAUCCACACAAAUGGAGUAAUAGGAGAAAUAAGCAUUAAACAAUCUUUUUAUUGAA